rnacentral:rRNA from 1 species
GAGUGGCGAACGGGUGAGUAACACGUGGGAAACCUACCUCUUAGCAGGGGAUAACAUUUGGAAACAGAUGCUAAUACCGUAUAACAAUGACAACCGCAUGGUUGUUAUUUAAAAGAUGGUUCUGCUAUCACUAAGAGAUGGUCCCGCGGUGCAUUAGCUAGUUGGUAAGGUAAUGGCUUACCAAGGCGAUGAUGCAUAGCCGAGUUGAGAGACUGAUCGGCCACAAUGGGACUGAGACACGGCCCAUACUCCUACGGGAGGCAGCAGUAGGGAAUCUUCCACAAUGGGCGAAAGCCUGAUGGAGCAACGCCGCGUGUGUGAUGAAGGGUUUCGGCUCGUAAAACACUGUUGUAAGAGAAGAAUGACAUUGAGAGUAACUGUUCAAUGUGUGACGGUAUCUUACCAGAAAGGAACGGCUAAAUACGUGCCAGCAGCCGCGGUAAUACGUAUGUUCCAAGCGUUAUCCGGAUUUAUUGGGCGUAAAGCGAGCGCAGACGGUUAUUUAAGUCUGAAGUGAAAGCCCUCAGCUCAACUGAGGAAUUGCUUUGGAAACUGGAUGACUUGAGUGCAGUAGAGGAAAGUGGAACUCCAUGUGUAGCGGUGAAAUGCGUAGAUAUAUGGAAGAACACCAGUGGCGAAGGCGGCUUUCUGGACUGUAACUGACGUUGAGGCUCGAAAGUGUGGGUAGCAAACAGGAUUAGAUACCCUGGUAGUCCACACCGUAAACGAUGAGUGCUAGGUGUUUGAGGGUUUCCGCCCUUAAGUGCCGCAGCUAACGCAUUAAGCACUCCGCCUGGGGAGUACGACCGCAAGGUUGAAACUCAAAGGAAUUGACGGGGACCCGCACAAGCGGUGGAGCAUGUGGUUUAAUUCGAAGCAACGCGAAGAACCUUACCAGGUCUUGACAUCCCUUGACAACUCCAGAGAUGGAGCGUUCCCUUCGGGGACAAGGUGACAGGUGGUGCAUGGUUGUCGUCAGCUCGUGUCGUGAGAUGUUGGGUUAAGUCCCGCAACGAGCGCAACCCUUAUUACUAGUUGCCAGCAUUCAGUUGGGCACUCUAGUGAGACUGCCGGUGACAAACCGGAGGAAGGUGGGGAUGACGUCAAAUCAUCAUGCCCCUUAUGACCUGGGCUACACACGUGCUACAAUGGCGUAUACAACGAGUUGCCAACCCGCGAGGGUGAGCUAAUCUCUUAAAGUACGUCUCAGUUCGGAUUGUAGGCUGCAACUCGCCUACAUGAAGUCGGAAUCGCUAGUAAUCGCGGAUCAGCACGCCGCGGUGAAUACGUUCCCGGGUCUUGUACACACCGCCCGUCACACCAUGAGAGUUUGUAACACCCAAAGCCGGUGGGGUAACCUUCGGGAGCCAGCCGUCUAAGGUGG